rnacentral:lncRNA from 1 species
UUUACAUCGGGUCUGCUGUAAUAGCGUCUACUGUAAUAGUCAGGACAUUAAUACUGUCCACUGAGAUAGUAUCAAUUGUAAUAUAGAGCCUUGAAAUACUGUCCACUGUGAUAGUUUCCAUCGGGUCUGCUGUAAUAGCGUCUACUGUAAUAGUCAGGACAGUAUGAAGUUUGAUGUAAUAGUGUGACAAUUAAACUUUCCAUUAUAAAAAUGUCUACUUUAAUAGAGUCCAGUGUACAAAUCAGCUAAAUAAUGUCGAUUGUAAUGGUGUUGUUAUACUGUUCACUGUAAUAGUGUGCUCCAUAAUACUGUCCAUAUUGAUAGUAUCCACUGUAUUAAUGUCCACUUACUGUGCACUGUAAUGAUGUUUAUUGUUAUACUGUCUGCUGUAAUAGUAUAAACUGAAGUAAUGUCUAUUUACUGUGCAUUGUAAUACUGUUCACUACAAUACUGACUACUGUUAUAGUGUCAAGUGUAAUAGUGUCCACUAUCAUACGGUCUACUGUUAAGGUGUG